AAUCGAACCCUCAUGAAUCUGCUCCAAGGCAGGGAUAACAGCAAUUUUCUCUCUCUCCUAUGAAUUAAACUUCCAUUUCCCUUGGUGGCCAGAUCAAGUUACUGAAAGACAAUUUACUUAUCUGGAAAAUGGUUCCUGGGGCAGCUCUGACCCAUGUAUCCUUCAGGGACCCAGAUGCAGUGACUCCACCAAUCUUGCAGUUAUAUGAUCUAGAAUACACAGGCUCCUCCGGUGACACAACUGCUUUUCUGUGUUUCAGCCAAGAAAUGAAACACUUCACCUCUGCAUCCAGCCUAUUGGUCAGAAUUAUUCAUAUGCUCCUGUCUAACCCCAGGAGAGGCUAGGAGCACACCUUCAUUAAGAGAGAAAAAUAAAACAGCUAAUUUGUUUUAGGCCAUUAUUUUUGGAUUUCUGUUAUAAUCAAAUGCAAUUACUAAGCAAUACAAUUGGUGCCAAUUUUUAAGUUUACUAUAGGUACAGUCAAUGGCCUACAGAAUGUGUGCUAUUACAACCCUGAUGGAGGCAUAUAUGAGAUUGGCAAGUGAAACAAAGUAGAAGUGUAUGGAUCCGACACCAGCCUUCUGCCGGGGAGAGAGACUCAUGGUUCUAACAAGAUACCACAGUUCUUGUACGCUCCUAAAACAGAGUGAGUCAUGGGGAAUGCAGUUUUUCCAUGAGAAAUAAUUUAAAACAUUCAUGUGGUUUUCUCUUUUGCCCUUCUGAGUGGCAAAAUCUGCCCUAAUCUGCCCCAGGUACCCAUCUGUCUGAGAAGAGAUUAGAAAUUAAAGCAGAAAGUAUGCAGAGAAAAAGAAGAGGUAAUAUUCAGCUCUCGACAUUGGAAAUUAGAUGGUACAACAAGACAAUGCCCUUCGAGUCAGGCUAUUCUCCUGAGAAAGAUUUUUUUUUCCAAAUUUCCAUGUGCCCCAUUGAGCAUCUCAAGGCCAAGUACAUCCUUAGGACUGUGGAGCUAUUCACCAUCUCCAGAAGGAACUGUUUAUGUCCAGAAGCUAUCUGGGCCAAUAAAUUUCCUGACAUGGGAGUCUCCUAAAAUGGUACAGGAGAAGGCCACCGACCUCAAAAGUGUGGAAUCGGGCAGAGUUAUGUCUUACCACAUCUAGGUGGGGAAGAAGACAGAGUCCAUGAGCUGAGGAAGCGAGAGAAGGAGAUGGAGAUUGAGAGAAAGAAAGACUGAGAAGGAGAGGAAAUCUUAUAUUUACUGAUGACAUGUGCAUGUGGCACCCAGAUGAUUGCCUUAAUCUUUCUUUAUUUGGCCCAUCAAGUAUCCUUUGAUUCCACACAGUCAGCCUCAGUUUGGCAUCUGGUGUCCUCAUUUCCUGUCUCCUCCCUUCACCUUGCUUGGGGUCUUCAAAAUCAAUUUUAAAUGGACCCUGUUUUUCCUCAGCCUUCCCCCCCACAAUAAAGAAUCCAUGAAACUGUGGUUUUGAUGACUU
rnacentral:lncRNA from 1 species